rnacentral:rRNA from 1 species
UGCGCAGGCGGCCUGAUCAGUCAGUGGCGAAAUCCCGGGGCUCAACUCCGGAACUGCCAUUGAUACUGUCAGGCUUGAAUACGGUUGAGGUAGGCGGAAUGUAGCAUGUAGCGGUGAAAUGCAUAGAUAUGCUACAGAACACCGAUCGCGAAGGCAGCUUACCAAGCCGAUAUUGACGCUCAGGCACGAAAGCGUGGGGAGCGAACAGGAUUAGAUACCCUGGUAGUCC